ACCCGUGCUCAAUUCUUGCAGCUGCAAUGUUGGCAAGAAGUGGUUGUUCACUGUUCCGGCAUGGGCCCCUUGAAAUUGUGACACACUUGAUGGAAAGCUCCCAAGACUCUGCGGUUCAGCUUUUUGACAACCGCAUUCUAGAUUUACACAGCGCCUUUAGGGUGGCAAACUAUUCCACAGCACUUCAAAAAGCUAUUUCCAUAUCCUUGCUGCUGUUGUCGAAAGUUCUAAUGGUGAACUAGACUGAAAGGAGAAGCACAGAAGUCUUGGGAAGUAACUUUCUGGGAUUCAACUUCAGAAACUGUUUCUUAGAAUCACUGGACAAUGUUUUUCUAAUGAACAGCACUUUAAAGUCUGCAUUUCAUGUUAGCAGAUUAAUGCAAAAAGCUGUUUUUAAUUCUAUAUAUACAGUUACAAGGUGUAUCAGGAAAAGCAACACAGAGCAGUCUGUCUUGUUGAUCAAAGAUCGCUUGAAUGGCCUGUACUAGCUUGGAUAGAUGUACUAAACUCUGAUCACACAAUUGUAAUCUAUUCUUAGUGCACUGAUCAACAUUCUUCUCUCAACCCACACUACUUGAAGACAAAACUAUUUGCUAAUUCAAUUAAUCAUUGCCUGUGGUACUUUUUCUAUGUAAAUUACUGACGUAAC